rnacentral:rRNA from 1 species
UCAAAGGAAUUGACGGGGACCCGCACAAGCGGUGGAUGAUGUGGAUUAAUUCGAUGCAACGCGAAGAACCUUACCUGGUCUUGACAUGUACGGAAUCUCUUAGAGAUAGGAGAGUGCCUUCGGGAGCCGUAACACAGGUGCUGCAUGGCUGUCGUCAGCUCGUGUCGUGAGAUGUUGGGUUAAGUCCCGCAACGAGCGCAACCCUUGCCAUUAGUUGCCAUCAUUUGGUUGGGCACUCUAAUGGGGACUGCCGGUGACAAACCGGAGGAAGGUGGGGAUGACGUCAAGUCCUCAUGGCCCUUAUGACCAGGGCUUCACACGUCAUACAAUGGUCGGUACAGAGGGUAGCCAAGCCGCGAGGUGGAGCCAAUCCCAGAAAACCGAUCGUAGUCCGGAUUGCACUCUGCAACUCGAGUGCAUGAAGUCGGAAUCGCUAGUAAUCGCAGGUCAGCAUACUGCGGUGAAUACGUUCCCGGGUCUUGUACACACC